rnacentral:lncRNA from 1 species
CCUAGGGUUUCACCCAUUUGAGCUUUGGAUCUUCAAACCAAUAGGGUUUAACUACAAAAAGGGUUUAUUGCAUAAAUAAGCUAUCCCGUAAUUUUUGGAUAUUUAUUUAGAGUUGAAAAACUACUUUAUUUAAAUAGUUAUAAAGCCCUAAAGGCAUUUAUAGGGCAAAUGUAUUUUUAUAUAUUUAAUUUUGAGGGUAAAUUACUCCCAAAAGUUGAAUCAUGAUAAAACAUGAUUUUACAAAUUUUCUAGAAUUUAUUUGGAUCAAUUUGGUGUUCAAAAUCAAAAGAUAUCAAAGAAAUCAGAAAAUGAAAAAGAGAAAAGGCUAAAAGAAAAAAAAAGAAGUAAACCGGGCCGGCCCGACCAAAUGGGCCGAACCGCUCGGUUCCGCACGAACCGACCGAGCUGGACCGGCGCAGCCAGCCCCGCGUGCCCCUGAC